rnacentral:rRNA from 1 species
CACUCCUGCGGGAGGCAGCAGUGGGGAAUUUUGGACAAUGGGGGCAACCCUGAUCCAGCAAUGCCGCGUGAGUGAAGAAGGCCUUCGGGUUGUAAAGCUCUUUUGUCAGGGAAGAAACGGUGGUGGCGAAUAACUACUACUAAUGACGGUACCUGAAGAAUAAGCACCGGCUAACUACGUGCCAGCAGCCGCGGUAAUACGUAGGGUGCAAGCGUUAAUCGGAAUUACUGGGCGUAAAGCGUGCGCAGGCGGUUGUGUAAGUCAGAUGUGAAAUCCCCGGGCUCAACCUGGGAAUUGCAUUUGAGACUGCACGGCUAGAGUGUGUCAGAGGGGGGUAGAAUUCCACGUGUAGCAGUGAAAUGCGUAGAUAUGUGGAGGAAUACCGAUGGCGAAGGCAGCCCCCUGGGAUAACACUGACGCUCAUGCACGAAAGCGUGGGGAGCAAACAGGAUUAGAAACCCUGGUAGUCCCAUG